rnacentral:rRNA from 1 species
CGCACUAGUCACUUUGUCUUUAUGGCAAAUGUGAGAUGCAGUGUAUGGAAUGUCAAAUUUCUAGUAUGAGAAAUUAACGAUUUAAGUCCUUCUUAAAUGAGGCCAUUUACCCAUAGAGGGUGCCAGGCCCGUAUAACGUUAAUGAUUACUAGAUGGCAUUUCCAAAGAGUCGUGUUGCUUGAUAGUGCAGCACUAAGUUGGUGGUAAACUCCAUCUAAAACUAAAUAUAACCAUGAGACCGAUAGUAAACAAGUACCGUGAGGGAAAGUUGAAAAGAACUCUGAAUAGAGAGUUAAAUAGUACGUGAAACUGCUUAGAGGUUAAGCCCGAUGAACCUGAAUAUCCAAUAUAGAAAAUUCAUCAUUAUGAUUUUAAUAUAUUAAUAUUAUAAUAAUGGUGUGCAUUUUUUCUAUAGAGGACAUUGUAAUCUAUUAACAUAAUAAAUAUUUAUCAAAAGGUCAAUUGCAAUGGUUUAUUCCAAUUAUUUUGCUUGCAAAAUAACAUAGGGUAAUCGCUUUUGAUUUGAUAAAGUGUUGAUAGAUUUAUUAUAUAUAGUGCUUGAAUAUUUAUAUUCUAUAAUGGCAUAUUAAUUUAUAAUUUUUAUGUUUAUUAUAUGCACUUAUAUGAUUAACAAUGCGAAAGAUUCAGGAUACCUUCGGGACCCGUCUUGAAACACGGACCAAGGAGUCUAACAUAUUUGCAAGUUAUUGGGAAUAAAAACCUAAUAGCGAAAUUAACAUAACUAAUAUUGGGAUUAGUUUUUAGUCUAUUUUUAAUAGUCUAUUAAUUCAAUCCCGGGGCGUUCUAUACAGUUAUGUAUAAUAAUAUUUAUAUUAUUUAUACCUCUAACUAGAGCGUACCUUGAGCAUAUAUGCUGUGACCCGAAAGAUGGUGAACUAUACUUGAUCAGGUUGAAGUCAGGGGAAACCCUGAUGGAAGACCGAAACAGUUCUGACGUGCAAAUCGAUUGUCAGAAUUGAGUAUAGGGGCGAAAGACCAAUCGAACCAUCUAGUAGCUGGUUCCCUCCGAAGUUUCCCUCAGGAUAGCUGGUGCAUUUAAAAAUUAUGUAAAAUAAUCUUAUCUGGUAAAGCGAAUGAUUAGAGGCCUUAGGGUCGAAACGAUCUUAACCUAUUCUCAAACUUUAAAUGGGUAAGAACCUCACCUUUCUUGGUAUGAAGGUAGUGGUUGUGAUAUAAUGUGCCCAGUGGGCCACUUUUGGUAAGCAGAACUGGCGCUGUGGGAUGAACCAAACGUAAUGUUACGGUGCCCAAAUUAACAACUCAUGCAGAUACCAUGAAAGGCGUUGGUUGCUUAAAA